GAUGAACGCUGGCGGCGUGCCUAAUACAUGCAAGUCGAGCGAACGGACGAGAAGCUUGCUUCUCUGAUGUUAGCGGCGGAUGGGUGAGUAACACGUGGAUAACCUACCUAUAAGACUGGGAUAACUUCGGGAAACCGGAGCUAAUACCGGAUAAUAUUUUGAACCGCAUGGUUCAAAAGUGAAAGACGGUCUUGCUGUCACUUAUAGAUGGAUCCGCGCUGCAUUAGCUAGUUGGUAAGGUAACGGCUUACCAAGGCAACGAUGCAUAGCCGACCUGAGAGGGUGAUCGGCCACACUGGAACUGGGACACGGUCCAGACUCCUACGGGAGGCAGCAGUAGGGAAUCUUCCGCAAUGGGCGAAAGCCUGACGGAGCAACGCCGCGUGAGUGAUGAAGGUCUUCGGAUCGUAAAACUCUGUUAUUAGGGAAGAACAUAUGUGUAAGUAACUGUGCACAUCUUGACGGUACCUAAUCAGAAAGCCACGGCUAACUACGUG
rnacentral:rRNA from 1 species